rnacentral:RNase_P_RNA from 1 species
UGAGUAAGUCAGAUGAUCGCGGGUACAGUGCCGAAAGGCCGUACACGAGGAAAGUCCGGGCUCCGCAGGGCAGGGUGCCGGGUAACUCCCGGUCAAGGCGACUUGAAGGAUAGUGCAACAGAAAUAAACCGCCUUAUGGGCUUUUCCAUAAGGUAAGGGUGGAAAGGUGAGGUAAGAGCUCACCGGUUUCCUGGCGACAGGAAACGCUCUGUAAACCCCACCUGGAGCAACACCGCAAAAGAGGACAUAUUGGUUGCCCGCCAGUCCUCAGAGGUGGCUUGAGCCAUGUAGAAAUACAUGGCCUAGAUAGAUGAUCAUCUAAUACAGAACCCGGCUUACAGGCUUACUCAUUAU